UACGUAGGGUGCGAGCGUUGUCCGGAAUUACUGGGCGUAAAGAGCUCGUAGGUGGUUUGUCGCGUUGUUCGUGAAACUCACAGCUCAACUGUGGGCGUGCGGGCGGAUACGGGCAGACUAGAGUACUGCAGGGGAGACUGGAAUUCCUGGUGUAGCGGUGGAAUGCGCAGAUAUCAGGGAGGAACACCGGUGGCGAAGGCGGGUCUCUGGGGCAGUAACUGACGUGGAGGAGCGAAAGCGUGGGGAGCGAACAGG
rnacentral:rRNA from 1 species